rnacentral:rRNA from 1 species
AACGAACGUUGGCGGCGUGGAUUAGGCAUGCAAGUCGAACGAAUCCCAGUGGUGUAGCAAUACAUCGCUGGGGGAAGUGGCGAAAGGGGCAGUAAGGCGUGGGUAACCUACCCCGGGGACGCGGAUAGCCGUUCUAACGGACGGGUAAACCGCGGCGAUUCAGCGAGGCGGCAUCGCCUUGCUGGGAAACAAAUUUUGCCUCGGGAGGGGCUCACGUGAUAUUAGCUAGUUGGUGAGGUAACGGCUCACCAAGGCGAAGAUGUCUAGCGGGUGUGAGAGCACGACCCGCGCCACUGGCACUGAGACACUGGCCAGACACCUACGGGUGGCAG